rnacentral:lncRNA from 1 species
GUGCUGUGGGAGCAAUAGGAGGGGAGGAAAGGGAGGGGUUAAUCCACUUGCCACACAGGGUGGGCUUCUGGCCUCCCAGGGGAGGUGGCACCCAAGCUGGGCCUUGAAGGGUGCAUAGGAGUCCCUGGCAGAGCAGUGAAUGAAGGAGACAGCAAAGGGAAUAGCACCCACAAAGGCACGGAAGCGCACAAGGGCAUGGCACUUCCGGAAACCUUCAGGUGGCUGGAGUGGCAGUGGGCGUGGUGGGGGCAGGUGGAGAGAGGACACCUUGUCUCACCUCCCUUCCUGGGUGCCCACAUUUUGACUGUGCAGCCAGGACCACAGCCUCUUGCAAGGGCAGCACUUUGCAGCUCACGCAGACUUUUUCUGUCAUUUCACAGAUGAGGAACCAGAGGCCCACAGCUAGGUGGGCAGAACUGGGUGGGGACCCAGAUCUGCUGACUCUCAGGCCAGGGACUGACUCUCAGACGGCCGGGUGUGGGCGCUGGGAGGAUUUCCUCGGGGAGCUGGGAUGCACAAGACGAUGGUCAGGGGCCUGCAGGAAGGGCCGGGCCAGGCCCGUGGGAGCGAUGGGCAGCGAUGACAGCCCGGGGGGGCGGCUGACGCGUGUUAUUUAUGGCUGUUUCUCUCUGAGUCCUUCAGGGCCACGAAGGUAAUUGAAUGAGUGAGCGUGAGCAGAUGCAGGCGAUCAUUUAAUUGUGGCAGAAAAUGAAGCUGGUUGCAGCUGGGGGCCGCCAGCCCAUUACUGCUGACCCUGGUUUCUGCUGAGUUGGGCAAGUGGGGCCAGAGUGGUCAUCCAUCCUUGGCCUGCCCCCACCUCGUCCCCUGGCAGCUGUCCCCAUGCCCGCAGGGCCUGGGCAGUGCAAAUAUUCUCCCAGAUUUCACCGAUGAGGAAACGGAGGUCUGGAUGCUGACUCCUUGCACAGGAUGGAGAAGCCCCUGGGAGGUGCUGAGAUUCUGGGGGGCCCGAUGUGGGUGAAGCAGUGAACCCCCUGAGGUGCCGAGAGGACCUGGCCAUGCACGUCCCCCAGGGCCCUGCCAGCUUUCUCUCUCACCUCUCGUCCUGUUUCAACCUGCUGGCCACCCCCUGCCUGCCCUUCGGGAAGACCAGGGCAGAAGCCUGGCCCCCAAGUCCCGAGGCAGGAGGACACCCUGGCAGGCCUGGGCCAGCUCAGCUCCCGGAGCUCUGCCCGCUGGCCUUCGCUCCUCUGGCGCCCUUUCCAGCCCUCUGAGGAAGCAGACACAGUUAGGCCUCGAAGCUGUGGCCUCGCCUCUCUCACCUGUCCUGCAGGACGUCAGUGCUCCCCACCACACUCACCGGGUGGCCCCACCGUGAGGAGCUGGAGAGACCUCAAGAGGGGCUCCUCUUGCUUUCAUUCAUUCGUUCAUUUAUGUGGCACCUGCUGUGUA